CAAAUUUGAGUUGCCUUCAGCUCGUAUUACAAUGUCAAAAGUUGAGAUGCAGAGAUUCUGUGAGGUGCUUAAGUCAGUGAAGUCACCAGAUGGUUACUGCUCUAAUAUUUCAAAUAAUAUCCAAGUGAAAGAGCGAAAACUUUUAGGACUUAAGACUCAUGAUUAUCAUAUCCUUCUUCACCAAUUGCUUCCGGUAGCACUUCGUAACAACAUGGCCGAUGAAGAAGUAGCAAAAGUUAUAAUCGAAUUCUGUGGAUUUUUUAAAAAGUUAUGCUCAAAAGUUAUCAAUAUUGAUGAAUUUAAGGCACUAAAAGGAGAAAUGAAUGAAACCCUCUGCAAAAUGGAGAUAUUCUUCCCUCCAUCAUUUUUUACGAUCAUGGUCCAUCUCACACAUCAUCUUGUAGAUGAGGCAUUACUCGGAGGACCAGUUAACUAUCGUUGGAUGUAUCCCAUGGAGAGGUUAGUCAAAAUUCAAUUAAGUCUAUUUACAAUACAUGUAACUGCUUUAUAUUAACAACUCAUAUUAAUAUUAUCUUUAGAUAUUUGGGUUUCUUGAAACGCAUAAUGCGAAAUCGGGCUCAUCCUGAAGGAUCGAUUGCUGAUCAUUACGUGACAAAUGAAUGUAUGAUGUUCACCUCUCGAUAUAUACAUGGUGUACAUACAAAAAAUAAGGAGAUAAAUAGUAAUAGAGAUGGCACCUUUCAUGGAAGUACCAAGAUGAACAAAGACUAUUCCAGAAUUGACUUGAAUCAGGCUCAUGCCUUCUUAUUGCAGAACCUGGAAAUCUUUGAAGAUUAUCGCAAGUAAGAAAUUAACUUUAACAAAUAUGAUUUUUUUUAAUUAUAUCAAUAAUUGAACUCUAAUUUUUUGUAUCAACAGACAACAUUUGGAGGAGUUACAUUUAGAAAUUACUGGUGCGUCCGCACGAAAUCAAAUUGCUAAAAUUCAUGAAAAACAUUUUACCGAGUGGGUCAUAGCUGAAGUAGAAAGACAAAAAUGUGCUGGUUUGCCAGUGUCAGAAGAGAUAAGUAUUCACUCACAUGGACCGCACUACACAGUUAAACAAUGCAGCGGAUAUCGUGUAAAUGGGUGUUUAUUUCAACGGGUUGGGCUUGAGGAGGAGAGAGUUACUCAAAAUAGUGGGGUCAUGGCUGCAUUUUCUCAAGAAUGUUAUUCAAGCUCAACUGAUCAAAAUCCGGUUCUUGGUGAUGUAAUUUAUUACGGACAAUUAGAAGAUAUUGUGGAGAUAUUUUAUGCGUACGGUACCAAAAAUGUACGUAGUUAUGUGAUGUUUAAGGUUCGUUGGUGUCAUGCAGACAGUACUAGGGAUGCAUAUGGUUUUCAUCUUGUAAAUCUAGAUAAGGAGAUAUAUCCCGAUAUGAAGUUUAUGUUUGCAAAUCAGGCUACUCAGUGCUUUUACGUCAAAGAUCCUAAGCACCCGAAUGUCUGGGUCGUAUUGUAUAAGGAGCCGAGGACUCUUGUUCAGCUUGCUCUUGAUGAAAACUCGGAUGAUACUGAUGACCCAAAUGAGGCCGAAGGAGAAAUUUUUCUUAAUUACUCAUACCCUCAGAAUGUCAAUUUUAAUAUGUAUACUUCACAAAUUCGACUUGAUAUCUGUAAUGUAGGAGAUUGAAUACAAAGAUCCUUAUGCAAAUUCGACUUGAUAUCUGUAAUGUAGGAGAUUGAAUACAAAGAUCCUUAUGCAAAUUCGACUUGAUAUCUGUAAUGUAGGAGAUUGAAUACAAAGAUCCUUAUGCAAAUUCGACUUGAUAUCUGUAAUGUAGGAGAUUGAAUACAAAGAUCCUUAUGCAAAUUCGACUUGAUAUCUGUAAUGUAGGAGAUUGAAUACAAAGAUCCUUAUGCAAAUUCGACUUGAUAUCUUGUAUGCAUUUAUUAAAUAUUUCAAUUAUGUUAGAUUAACAAUUUAAGUUGCAGAUGAGCCAAAGAGUUAGGAGGCUAUCUUUUCCUCGGGAUCGAGAAGGUCCAUCAUCCGGAUCGUCCUCACGACCAUCUCGGAGUCAGUUAUCUCUACAUGGAUCCUCACCAAUUGAAGAUAUUGCGGGGACAUCUCAAAUGUGUACACCGCAACAUCAAGACACAUUACCAGGUAUAGGUAUUAUACAUUCGACUGCAGAUUAACUAUCAGCCACCUGUUCUCAACUAAAGACUGCAUUUUCACCUGCAAUUCAUGUAGACAAUGUAUCUUUCAAUGACUUAAUUCAGAAAAAGUUCGCUGAUCAAAAUUCAAAGUUUGGAAACUUUAAAAAAAAUUACCUGCGUAAAAGAGCCUUGAAUGGUCAGGGAAUUUGGACGGCGAUACAAGGAAGCAAGAUUACCACCAGAAGCAGUUGGUGUGGGAUCAACUCUUCCAUCCGAUUCCCAUACUUCAUUCCUUGGCUUAUCGUGUUUUGGAUUCAGGAAACUAAUUUACAAUAUAUAGAGAUGACAAAGUCAAGAAUUAGACAUAUGAAUAAUCAUGAAGCAACUGAUUUAAUAUACAAGAAGAAAAAUUUGUAGGAA